ACUGAGCGGAAUCGAAAACUUUUUUUCACUUCUAUUUUCUGCCAGCCAUAUUUGUUGCUAAAAUAGGAAUUUUUAGGCGUAAUAGUAGUGCUGAAGUUUUUGAAAUAUUUGAAACAAGACCGUAGUGCCUUUCACUACCUUUGCAGUUAAGUGUCAGGGGGAGGAGGAGAGUAGAAGAGGCAGCCUUUAAAGUUGCCUUUUGUCAAGUUGUGGCAGAUUAGCCACAACUAGCUGUGAAGAAUUUCAACAAGAGGUGCGAAUGCUAUCACUGCGGCUGGUGUCUUGUCGUUUUCUAAAGCAGCCUUAGACCCCCCCAAAAUGUUUGUUGCUCAUAAUCACUAAAUAUACAUCAUUCAUUAUAUAGCUUGGAUUUCUCUCUCUCUUGCAUUCAUUGUUUUUGCAUUCACUAGCCUUGUUGUCUGUAUUUAGUUUCAUAGUCAUCUAAGAACACAGUGCUUCAUUUGAAAGACAUGAGAGCUCCGUUUUGCAAUGAAACAAGUAAUUUGUCUCCAGAAGAAAAGGAGAUUGUGGGAUCAGAUUCUGAAAACAAAAACCAACUUUGCGUCUUAGAAAGGAGCAGACCACCUGUCUUUGGAAUAUGCAUUGAGGAUCUCCUGAAAAAGUCUUCUGUGGUGGUCCCACAUAUUCCUUUCAUUAUAUCCCGCAUCUGUAGCUAUAUUGAGUUGCAUGGCAUGCAUGAAAAAUGCUUAUUUGUGGAUGGUGAAGAGAAAGCUUUGGUUGAGAAAUUGAUGCAAGAAUUUGCACUUAGUGGAGAUGCCUCCUUGGAAAGUACUGGCCAUAUUGCAUCCAUUGCAAGACUCCUGAUCAUUAUACUAGAGAAAUUGCCAGAACCCUUGAUUCCACUAUCCUUGCAGAAUGAUUUUGUCACAGAUAUUGAAAAGAUGCCACUGGACGAAUGCCUGUCUAGUUUAAAGAGAAGCCUUGAGAAAUUAUCGGAUGGUGCUUAUCAAACUUUAAAGUACUUGUCUCACUUUCUGUUGCAAGUGGCUUUCCAUGAAGAACAUAAUGGAAUGAGUUCCAAUAGCUUAGCUGUCAUCUUUGGACCACUUAUAUUUAGGCGUUCAUCUGAAGACAAGCAGAUGAUAUUGAAUUUCCAGGAUAUCACAAAUUGUUUUGUGAGAGACUAUUAUACCAUAUUUGAAGGAGCAGUUAUUACAUCUGAUUCUAAUAGGGUUCUUUCUAAAUUGUUGAAAAAGAAUUCUUAUCCUUCCUCUGUUAUGUCUCCAUUGAGUGUCAUCAUUCCUGUCAUAGAUGAUGAUGAUGAUGACAUUGAGAGUGAAAGGGUACCCACUGUUCUUCUAGCAGAGAGGACUGGAUUACUUCCCCUCACUGUUAACACUCCAAAUGACAACAAAUGCUCCAUAAAAGAGAUUGACGUUGUUAUCACGAGGAAGAGGAAGGAGAGGCGUUUCUCUGGAGAAGAUGGACAACAGAGAUCCAGUUCAGAGGAGAGGCCCAACAGUCUCCUAGUUGUGGGUGCCAUCGACCUACUCAGACGCUGCAACAGUCACGAAGAAGUACUGGAGGAGCAAAACAAAGAACCAUCUUCUAAAUCAAUGAGUCAUAAGUCUUGUAUUGUUGGGAGUCCUCAUCCUCCUACUGCCAAACGAAGAGAAAUAUAUACUGAUGAUGAUGAAAAUGAAUAUUCAUGGAGAUCAGUUGUUCGUCCUUCCACUCAAAUUAAAAAUCCCCUUGCUGAAUGUGUGAAGAAAAACAUAAUGGAAUGUGAUAUAUUGGAUGAUGAUGAUGAAGAUAUAAGUGAAGAAAAAUUACCAUCAAACAUGACUAAAUCUGCCAGCUUUCCUAUCUCAAAAACAGAGAGCUCUGAUUCCGAAAACAGCUGUGGCCUAUCCCUUAGUUGGAGUAUGCUUUUUGAAGAUUCAGAGCCUGUAAGAGCUGAACCUCAUUUGAAUUUGUCAAAAGGCGAUGAAGACGAAAGCUUGCUGUCACCCUCCGUUCAGAAUCUUCGAAAAUCCAAUUAUUACGAAGCACCACUUUCACCAAGUGCGUAUCGAAAUUACUUAUCUUAUCGAAGCAAUCACUUGGAUCCUAGUGUACCACCAUCACCUCCUGUUGAGCAAGAAGAUUUUGCCAAAAAGUUUGUGGAAAAUAAUAGCGCUGCUGAAUCUAUCCGACAACUUACGAAAAAGAUACACAGUAUUAAGAAGAGAAUCAGGAAAUACGAAGAAAAAUUUGAAGCAGAAUUUGGUUUUAAACCUUCUCAUGCGGAAAAGUCUAACAACUCUGAAGCUAGAAAGAUGUUAAAUGAUUUGUAUAAAGCUAGAAAAGAACUCAAAGCUUUGAAAGAGGAGACACAUUUGGAACAUGUUGGUUGGCAUGCCGCAAAUCAAUAUCCUCCUCACAUACUGGAAGACACCACCAAUCAGUUCUCCCCUCUCUCCAGGGGUGGUUCAAAAGUGGAAGACUAUUUUGGCCUUGCUUGCAGGACUCUCGCUGAUGACCGAAAACUAGCCAACAGACCUGAAUCUUUGGAUGACAUGACUACAGAUCAGGUGGUGGAUGAGAAAGUGGCCAUUCAAAAAGCCUUACUGAACUUGGAAGAGAAAAUGAAUGGCAAGCCAGUGACUAAAGAGCAGAAGGACACCUGCAGGCCAUUGUACGACCGCUACAGAUUUGUGAAAAGGCUCCUCGUCCGAUCCUUCCCUGGAUCGUCCUCUGCUAUUAAAAACAAAGAUUUGUGUUCUGAACUUCAACCCAUACUGGAACAUGAAACCAUGAAUUUCCCUUCAUGCUUCAACAAUAAUGCUGUCUUGGCAGAAGAUGAUGUUCCUAGUGAAUCUACAGUAACAAGUGUGAAAAUGGAAGAAGUUAGUCCUGAAAAAAGUGAAGUUAAGGAAGAAGAACCAAAAAGUUCCAAUUUUCUGGCUAUGAAAUAUGAUAAUUCCAGCUUGCAUGAAUUACCUUUAUCUGAAAUGUUGUUACAAAUGCAAAAGAUUAAAUCUGAAAAAAGACAUCUUCGAAAAAUCAUCAAGGACUUUGAAACAGAAUUUCUGAGGCUGAACUCAAAAAAAGUUCAGAAGGAAGACAGGAUACCCAUAGAAUCUAUUUAUAAUGAAUACAAGCAUGUGAAAGCGAGAUUGAAACUCUUGGAAGCUCUGGUAUCGAAGCACGAUCAAUUUUUAUAAUAUGCUCAUUUGAGGUUUGCGGAACGACUCUUCUGACUACACUUUAGGAGAAAUGAUACUGAAGCAAGCAAGCCAAAGUCAGGAGUAUUUCUUCCCAUUCCGAUGAACGAGGAAAGUAUCUUUAGAAUAUAAUUCCACAGAAAAAAAUAAAAAUAAUUUAUUUGCUUUUGUGUUUUUUUCAGCUAUUUUAUUGCUUCAACUCUUUCUUUACUCUGUUUUUUAGAUUUAAAAUCUAUAAAUAUGCAGAGUAUGACAGUUUUUGGUUAUACAUAUCAUUUCAAUGAAUGUUGUUAUGAUUUUUUAAAUUUAUUGUUGUGUUUUUGUCGGAGAAAAUAGUAACUUCAUUAAGUCAUGAAAAAUUCUUGGAAUUAAUCAUGAAAAGUCAUGAAUUUGAAAAUCUAAAAUGUAGCAGAUACCCUGUAAUAAAGUGAAUCUUUUAGAUUAUGUCAGUGGCAGCACCUGUUUACAGGAUUUAAUAUUUUACCAGUUGAUUUCACAUCUGUAUUAUUAUUAUUAUAAUAGUUUAUUGGGAGAAAAAAGUAUGAGUAGUCCCCCAUGGCAGAAUUGCGACGACAUUGUUGCAAAACGUCAGAGUUUUUGCAGAAAGAUUUUUCAUUUGGGAAGGGGAAAAUUUUGGUUUUCAUUUCUGCCUAAAUUUUCAAAAAAUGUUUGUUUUUUUUUUCCCCUUGCAGAAUUAUUUUUUUCUUUCAAAGAUGUCUUUCUUGCGCAUCAGAGAGGAAAGAAACAUAGUUUUUCUAUUUUCAUUUGAGAUUUUUAAAAAAAAAAUCUGUAAUGAUUGACUUCAGCUAGAAUCUGAAAUUAAUUAUAUAAAAUGAAAAAUUGCGAAACGUAAACUUAUUUGAGUAUCACUUUUUUAAUGAGUCCUAUUCGUGAUAAUUUUUUGUCAAUCUUUAUUUUGGGAGCUUUUGCACAGAUUUUACGAUUUUUUAUUUUUUUUUUAUUUAUGUACUAAUUUUAAUUUAUUAUAGGUUGCACAAAAUAAAAUUCGUCAAUAAAUUAAUGAUUUACAAAAGUGCGAAAGAGAAAAUAAUUAGUGCAUUUUUCUGCCUACAAAAUGCGAAAAUAUCGCCUAUAAUAUUAGAAUUUAAAAUAUAUAACUUUUACAAUUAACAUUUUUUUAUACAUUUUAUUCUAUACUUUCAAACAACGUUUCUUUUACUUUAAAUUAGUAAUUGUUAUUAUUAAAAGUAUCUUAGAGCAAAAUAUAUAUUAGUGCAAGGGAAGUUUGUUGCAAGAAAAAUUCUGCCACAGGGGAGUAGUCUUAUAAAGUUAUGCUUAAUUGAAAAAGUGCAAUGAGUAAUAAUAAACAUGGAUAUGUUUUCUUAAAAACAAAGGUGGCUACAGAACAGGGAGUUUUAUAAAUAUGAGUAUGUAUGGAAAAUAAUCAAAAUGCACCUCAAAUUAGGAGAGAAGAACUAGUUAAAGGUACUAUUUGAAAUUCCAAUAUUUUUCCUAGAAGAAAAUUGGUACUUAUUCUGAAUAAAUAUCCUCUAAUAUUUGAUGAUUUUGGUUCAGUUUUUAUCAAAAAUAGUUAUAUAAAAAAAAUUUCAUCUGUUUUAUGAAAAAGUUGAUUUAACAUUUAUUAGAAAAUAUUGCACUAUCAAAAUCUAAAAUUUUUGUUUUUAAUUACUAAAAAUGGCUCUCAGUCAGUGACUGCAUAGUGGGUCAAUAAUAGGUCAGUAUCAGUUUUCGCCGAGGAAAUAUUAAAGUUUGCUCGAAAUAGAAAGAUUUAUUUAUUUUUUUAAAUUAAGGCACAAUAAAAUUAUCUAUUUUUUUCAGCGAUGACUACUGUGAACUUCAUGAUUUCUAAUUUAUUUAUUUUUAUUGUGGUGAUUUUUAACAAAAUGUGAGAAUAUCACCCAUAAUAUUAGAUUAAGAAAUUAUUACAUGCUUCAUUAAAAAAGUUAUAUAUAUAUAUACACAGUCAAACCUCAAUAUCUCGAACUUGAAGAGAGAGGAGAAAAAAUUUGAGAUACCGAAAAUUCGAAUUAUCGAAAAUCGCAUGUUAUCAAUGGUAGAAUAAAGAAAAAUGCACUUUACAUACCUUAUUUACUAUUCCAUAUUUAUUCUAAAAAUACUUUUUACACUUAAAAAGAUUCAAUUGUUGUUUGCUUUAGCGAUGCGUAAGAAAGUUUGUCUAUAACACUUUUCUAUAGCUUUAAAUGCUUCCUCUGACAUAUUCGGCUGCCUCUAAAUAAAUCUCCUUACGGUGUUUCACUGAAGAAAGUGCUUGUUUGAGAAUUGGUUAUGAUUAUGAGAAUUAGUUUUCUAUUCUUAAAAUUUUGUUUGGAAAUUUUUUUUUUUUUCAGGAAAAAAAUUACAUUAUUUAUGGAGAGAAAAAUUCGAGAAAUCAACGUUUUUUUAACGUUGAGUGUAAAGGAAAUUUGAAGGGAAUAUUUUUUUCUUUGAGGUAUCAAAAAAUUCGUGAAAUCAAGGUUCGAGUUAGCGAGGUUCAACUGUAUAUAUAUAUAUAUAAACACACCUCUUUUUCUAUUUUAAAUGAGUUACAUAUGUUUGUUAUUAUUAAAAGUAUCUUGCAGAAAGAUAUUAGUGCUUGGGAGUUUUCUCGCAGAUACCUCAAAAGAAUACUAUCACAGAGAAACUAAACUGAAAAAUUAAUAAUGAGACUUAUGCUGCUAAUUACAAAAAUUAAAACAAUUUGUUUAAAUCAGUCUUGAAAAUUAUUGCUAUCAAAUUAUGACCAUCUUUUUUUUUGUGACCCCUCCUGAAAAAGAAUUUAAGACCCAGUCAAGAAAAUGUUAUAAUGCUAUGUUUGAAACAUAAUGAGUUCUUUUUGUGUUAUUCUGUGUACAUAAUGUAAUAUGUUCAUUUAACAUGUCAUUUCUGUCAAUCAUACUUGUUUAUUAACACAUUUAGACCAAAUUUCAGCUGACAACACUCCCAUCUCCGCAAUUGUAUGUCAACUAUCACGUCAUUUAUGUCGAGCAAGGAAGAUGUCUCGGGUAACGAAAUGCUUUUAUAUGUUGUAAUAAAAUGUUGCUUUCUUUAAAUGUAAGGAUUGUUUGUAAUAUUCUUUUAUUCUCUGAUAAUGAUUUUGAGUUGGUUUGUAAGAGGGUUACAGAAUGAUUUUGAGUUGGUUUGUAAAGGGUUUACAGAAUGAUUUUGAGUUGGUUUGUUAGAGGGUUACAGAAUGAUUUUGAGUUGGUUUGUAAGGGGUUACAGAAUGAUUUUGAGUUGGAUUGUAAGGGGUUACAGAAUGAUUUUGAGUUGGAUUGUAAGGGGUUACAGAAUGAUUUUGAGUUGGAUAGUACGGGGUUACAGAAUGAUUUUGAGUUGAUUUGUAAGGGGUUACAGAAUGAUUUUCAGUUGGUUUGUAAGUGGUUACAGAAAAUAGCAUCCAACGAUUCAUUUGUAUGAUACGUGUCAGCUGAAAUCGGGUGAUUCUUUAAUAUAUUAUUUCUGCUGUUAGAAAAAUCAUUUGUGUGUAUUAUGCAAGUAGAUCAUUAUAAGUGUAGAGAAUCAAUAUUUUUUUUCCCUCGCUUUUUUAUCAUUUUGCAGUUAGAGGAAAAAUGACAUUGAUUCAUUCUCUUGAAGAAAUCAUUCUUUUAAAAAAAUUUAUUUCAUUAUAAAUAUCAAAAAUGUUGCAUUCUCUCUGUCUCGUUGGGGAGUCUCAACAUUGUGUGUAUAUAUAUAUAUGUAAUUAUAGGUGUGUCUGUAGAACGACCGCAGCCAAUUCUUUAUGAAUUUUACAAAUAGUGUCCACUCCCCCUGUAUGUUAUAUAUAGAUUUCUAGCGAGGACACAACAUUGUAUGUUUAUAAAUUCAUUCAUUUUUAUUUGACUGUUUAUAUGUUCUGCAAUGCUUUCUACAGAUGUUGUUUAUUUAUGUGAUAUUUUUAAGUUAGAAAUUGUAACAUCUUGUUCCCAGUAAUAAAUUAGGUUAUAACUAA
rnacentral:misc_RNA from 1 species